rnacentral:rRNA from 1 species
AAUCUUCCGCAAUGGACGAAAGUCUGACGGAGCAACGCCGCGUGAACGAAGAAGGCCUUCGGGUCGUAAAGUUCUGUUGUUAGGGAAGAACAAGUACCAGAGUAACUGCUGGUACCUUGACGGUACCUAACCAGAAAGCCACGGCCAACUACGUGCCAGCAGCCGCGGUAAUACGUAGGUGGCAAGCGUUGUCCGGAAUUAUUGGGCGUAAAGCGCGCGCAGGUGGUUCCUUAAGUCUGAUGUGAAAGCCCACGGCUCAACCGUGGAGGGUCAUUGGAAACUGGGGAACUUGAGUGCAGAAGAGGAAAGUGGAAUUCCAAGUGUAGCGGUGAAAUGCGUAGAGAUUUGGAGGAACACCAGUGGCGAAGGCGACUUUCUGGUCUGUAACUGACACUGAGGCGCGAAAGCGUGGGGAGCAAACAGG